rnacentral:rRNA from 1 species
GAUGAACGCUGGCGGCGUGCCUAAUACAUGCCAGUCGAGCGAACGGACGAGAAGCUUGCUUCUCUGAUGUUAGCGGCGGACGGGUGAGUAACACGUGGAUAACCUAUCUAUAAGAAUGGGGUAACUUCGGGAAACCUGAGCUAGCACCGGAUAAUAUUUUGAACCGCAUGGAUCAUCAGUGAUAGACGGUCUUGCUGACACUUAUAGAUGGAUCCGCGCUGCAUUAGCUAGUUGGUAAGGUAACGGCUUACCAAGGCAACGAUGCAUAGCCGACCUGAGAGGGUGAUCGGCCACACUGGAACUGAGACACGGUCCAGACUCCUACGGGAGGCAGCAGUAGGGAAUCUUCCGCAAUGGGCGAAAGCCUGACGCAGCAACGCCGCGUGAGUGAUGAAGGUCUUCGGAUCGUAAAACUCUGUUAUUUGGGAAGAACAUAAGUGUAAGUAUCUGUGCACAUCUUGACGGUACCUAAUCAGAAAGCCACGGCUAACUACGUG